UUUAAGUGCUAAGUUUUCGUGCCCAAAUUUAAUCAUCUAUCUUAUUUGAAAUUUUUUUAUAAUUAGUAUUUUUAUUGUUAUGGUUAUUAGAUGAUAAAAUAUAAAUAGUAUUUUAUACGUGACUUAUGUUUUUAUUUUUUUAAAAAAAAAUAAAUAAGAUAGACGGUUAAAGUUGUGCACGAAAAAUCAUGGUUGUACUUAAA
rfam:Oryza meridionalis cultivar OR44 (W2112) chromosome 5, whole genome shotgun sequence.